rnacentral:tRNA from 3 species
GGAAGGGUGGCCGAGUGGUUGAUGGCACUGGUCUUGAAAACCAGCAAGUUAACGCUUCGCAGGUUCGAAUCCUGUCCCUUCCGCCA